UUCUUAACAACGAUCCAAAACAGUUUCGUUAAAGGAGAUUGUAAAUAAGGAAGAGAUACGUAUACAGUGUAAUCAACAGAUAUUCUAGCAUAUGCGAUUUUUCAAUGUCCUUUUAAAAAUAAUUUUAAAUAAUCGGGAUGAGAGACGAGGUUAACCGACACUGUCUUGCGUUCGAAAUUUGAGAGGCGCCAGGGUGUUAUAGAUAUGAGCAGUGGUGGCGCUACUGAGUUAAAUGGAGAAUUGUCUUGAGGCUGCCGAA